rnacentral:tRNA from 1 species
UUUUAAUAAUUUAAAUAAAAUAUUGGUCUUGUAAACCAAAAAUAAGGAUACUUUUAAAACUU